UACGGAGGGUGCAAGCGUUAGUCGGAAUUACUGGGCGUAAAGGGUGCGUAGGCGGAAAUAUAAGUCAGAUGUGAAAUACUGAAGCUCAACUUCAGCUGUGCAUCUGAAACUGUAUUUCUAGAGGAAUAGCGGAGAAAACGGAAUUCCAUGUGUAGCGGUGAAAUGCGUAGAUAUAUGGAAGAACACCAGUGGCGAAGGCGGUUUUCUAGCUUUCUCCUGACGCUGAGGCACGAAAGCAAGGGGAGCAAACAGG
rnacentral:rRNA from 1 species